rnacentral:rRNA from 1 species
UCCAGACUCCUACGGGAGGCAGCAGUAGGGAAUUUUGCGCAAUGGGGGAAACCCUGACGCAGCAACACCGCGUGAAUGUUAAGCCCUUCGGGGUGUAAAGUUCUGUCAAUAGGGACGAAUUUUGACUGUACCUAUAAAGGAAGCACCGGCUAACUCCGUGCCAGCAGCCGCGGUAAUACGGAGGAUCCGAGCGUUAUCCGGAUUCAUUGGGUUUAAAGGGUGCGUAGGUUGUUUUAUAAGUUAGCGGUGAAAUACCGGUGCUCAACAUCGGGGCUGCCGCUAAUACUGUAGGACUAGAGAUCGGAUGCAGCAGGCGGAAUGUGUAGUGUAGCGGUGAAAUGCAUAGAUAUUACACAGAACACCGAUUGCGAAGGCAGCUUGCUAGGCCGGAUCUGACACUGAUGCACGAAAGCGUGGGGAUCGAGCAGGAUUAGAUACCCGUGUA